GCAUAUCAAUAAGCGGAGGAAAAAGAAACCAACAGGGAUUGCCCUAGUAACGGCGAGUGAAGCGGCAACAGCUCAAAUUUGAAAUCUGGCUUCGGCCCGAGUUGUAAUUUGCAGAGGAUGUUUCUGGCGCGGUGCCUUCCGAGUUCCCUGGAACGGGACGCCAUAGAGGGUGAGAGCCCCGUAUGGUUGGAUACUAAGCCUGUGUGAAACUCCUUCGACGAGUCGAGUAGUUUGGGAAUGCUGCUCAAAAUGGGAGGUAAAUCUCUUCUAAAGCUAAAUAUUGGCCAGAGACCGAUAGCGCACAAGUAGAGUGAUCGAAAGAUGAAAAGCACCUUGAAAAGGGGGUUAAACAGUACGUGAAAUUGUUGAAAGGGAAGCGCUCAUGACCAGACUUGUGCUGGGCAGCUCAUCCGGGGUUCUCCCCGGUGCACUCUGCCCAGUUCAGGCCAGCAUCGAUUUUUGCUGGGGGAUAAGAACGGUAGGAACGUGGCCCUCCUUCGGGUGGGUGUUAUAGCCUGCCGUACGAUACCCUGGCGGAGAUCGAGGUUCGCGCAUCUGCAAGGAUGCUGGCGUAAUGGUCAUCAGCGACCCGUCUUGAAACACGGACCAAGGAGUCGUCCAUUAGAGCGAGCGUUUGGGUGUAAAACCCGCACGCGUAAUGAAAGUGAAAUUAGGUGAGAGCUUCGGCGCAUCAUCGACCGAUCCUGAUGUUCUCGGAAGGAUUUGAGUAAGAGUUUUAACGGACGGACCCGAAAGACAGUGAACUAUGCUUGUAUAGGGUGAAGCCAGAGGAAACUCUGGUGGAGGCUCGCAGCGGUUCUGACGUGCAAAUCGAUCGUCAAAUAUGAGCAUGGGGGCGAAAGACUAAUCGAACUGUCUAGUAGCUGGGUUACCGCCG
rnacentral:rRNA from 1 species